rnacentral:rRNA from 1 species
AUUGAACGCUGGCGGCAUGCCUUACACAUGCAAGUCGGACGACAGCACGGGGCAACCUGGUGGCGAGUGGCGAACGGGUGAGUAAUGCAUCGGAACGUACCCGGAAGUGGGGGAUAACGUAGCGAAAGUUACGCUAAUACCGCAUAUUCUGUGCGCAGGAAAGAGGGGGAUCUUCGGACCUCUUGCUUUCGGAGCGGCCGAUGUCAGAUUAGCUAGUUGGUGAGGUAAAGGCUCACGAAGGCGACGAUCUGUAGCGGGUCUGAGAGGAUGAUCCGCCACACUGGGACUGAGACAAGGCCCAGAAGCCUACGGGAGGCAGCAGUGGGGAAUUUUGGACAAUGGGCGCAAGCCUAAUUCAGCCAUGCCGCGUGAGUGAAGAAGGCCUUCGGGUUGUAAAGCUCUUUCGGCCGGGAAGAAAUCGCGUGAGUUAAUACCUUGCGUGGAUGACGGUACCGGAAUAAGAAGCACCGGCUAACUACGUGCCAGCAGCCGCGGUAAUAC